UGGCGGACGGGUGAGUAAUGCUUGGGAACUUGCCUUUGCGAGGGGGAUAACAGUUGGAAACGACUGCUAAUACCGCAUAAUGUCUUCGGACCAAACGGGGCUUAGGCUCCGGCGCAAAGAGAGGCCCAAGUGAGAUUAGCUAGUUGGUAAGGUAACGGCUUACCAAGGCGACGAUCUCUAGCUGUUCUGAGAGGAAGAUCAGCCACACUGGGACUGAGACACGGCCCAGACUCCUACGGGAGGCAGCAGUGGGGAAUAUUGCACAAUGGGGGAAACCCUGAUGCAGCCAUGCCGCGUGUGUGAAGAAGGCCUUCGGGUUGUAAAGCACUUUCAGUUGUGAGGAAAAGUUAGUAGUUAAUACCUGCUAGCCGUGACGUUAACAACAGAAGAAGCACCGGCUAACUCCGUGCCAGCAGCCGCGGUAAUACGGAGGGUGCGAGCGUUAAUCGGAAUUACUGGGCGUAAAGCGCACGCAGGCGGUUUGUUAAGCUAGAUGUGAAAGCCCCGGGCUCAACCUGGGAUGGUCAUUUAGAACUGGCAGACUAGAGUCUUGGAGAGGGGAGUGGAAUUCCAGGUGUAGCGGUGAAAUGCGUAGAUAUCUGGAGGAACAUCAGUGGCGAAGGCGACUCCCCGGCCAAAGACUGACGACUCAUGUGCGAAAAGUGUGG
rnacentral:rRNA from 1 species